AUGGUAACUGGAAAGGACAAGGAGUCAGGACCUAGCCUGGUUAAGCCCAAUCAGAUCCGGCCCCUCACCUGUGCUGUGUUUGGUUACUCCAUUACCACUAAUUACUGUUGGGCCUGGAUCCGUCAGCCCACAGGGAAGGGGCUGGAGUGGAUGGGGGAAAUAUAUUAUAAUGGUAACACUUACUACAGCACAUCCCUUAAGAGCCGCACCUCCAUCUCCAGAGACCCAUCCAAGAAUGAGUUCUCCAUGCAGCUGAGCUCUGUCACCACAGAGGACACAGCUGUGUAUUACUGUGCAAGAAGCACAUUGAUGACCACAGGGUACUUCUCACAGCUCACACCACUCCAGAGAAUGUCUGGAUACUCCAACCUGCAGGGCACCAUGGUCAUCAAGACCAUGGAGGAGUGUGUGAAGACAGUGGUCCAUGAGUGA